GCAUUUGGCAGGGACAGCAAGUCCAGGAGCCAGUGUGGUAGAGGAUGUGGAAGCAGGAAGGGAGCCAAGGCAUCUUAUGAAGCGUCCUCUCCUCUCGGCUGAGUGGCUGCGUUAAUCACUGAGCCGGAGUUCACCUGUCAAACACAGCAGAGACCUGGCAGUUACCUACAGAUCUAAUGUCGGCCUGGCUCCAGGUUUUACUGAGUGUGGGAAUCUUGCCCAGCCUCUGACAUCGUACAGGUUGAUACUCAUCAGGUUGCCCUUUUAUGGACCACGGAUACCCUACUCAUUAAUGGACUUCCCAGGUGGCCCUAAUGGUAAAGAACCUGCCUGCCAAUGCAGAUGUAAGAGACCCAGGUUCAGUCCCUGGGUCAGGAAGAUCCCCUGGAGGACGGCAUGGCGACCCACUCCAGUAUUCCUGCCUGGAGAAUCCCGUGGACAGAGGCGCCUGGAGGGCUGCAGCUCACAGGGUCACAAAGAGUUGGACACGACUUAGCAGCACUCGUCAACACUGGGGAGUCACAGAAGACUUGAGACACUUUCUGCUCACUUGCCUGCCUUCUCCCUCCCAGAAGCACGAGAAA
ensembl:lncRNA